CAAAAGUUUUAGUGUAGUUUUAAGUUUAUUAAAGCUUAAACUGCUCUAAGACCUUUGG
ensembl:miRNA mdo-mir-7262l mdo-mir-7262l